UACGUAGGGCGCAAGCGUUAUCCGGAAUUAUUGGGCGUAAAGAGCUCGUAGGCGGUUUGUCGCGUCUGCCGUGAAAGUCCGGGGCUCAACCUCGGGUCUGCAGUCGAUACGAGCAAACUAGAGUGUUGCAGGGGAGACUGGAAUUCCUGGUGUAGCGGUGAAAUGCGCAGAUAUCAGGAGGAACACCGGUGGCGAAGGCGGGUCUCUGGGCAACAACUGACGCUGGAGGAGCGAAAGCGUGGGGAGCGAACAGG
rnacentral:rRNA from 1 species